CUCCGAUUUUCACUAUCUCUUCUCACCACUAUUUUAUCCUCUCUCCUUUGCGUUAACUCCAAAACCCUUUCUUCCCCAAUCCCUCUCCUCUCGAAACUCUAGCUCCCAUGGCGGCCCUCCUAUCCUCCCAGUCCCAGUGCCGCUUCUCCGCUGCCACCCCGAGAUCCUCCGUUUCGGCCAGGCGGAGCUGCUUCGAUGGCCACCGGCGACCUCUAGGUUUUCCCAUUUCCGACCAUCUCGAAGGAAGAGAAGAAGAGAUCGAAGGGAGAUUUGGGCGUUUCUCUCCUUGCCUCUUGCUCCGUGCCCUCGCCGGCGAGGUGCGUCGGAUGCUGGCUGGCGGGAUCAUCCGCCGCUUCGAGACGGAUACUGUGUGCUUACGGUCCUUCUAUGUUCUUUCACGAAAUCCAAUUCAUGAGAUUGGUGACUCUUUGAUGAAAUUGACAUCUAUCACAAAGCUUUCUCUCUCCCAUUGUCAAAUUCAAGAAAUUGGAUCUUCCCUCACGUCAUGUGUGGUUUUGAAGUCAAUCAGAUUUGCUCAAAACAAGAUUACAGUAUGUUUUACCUGCAUAAAAUACAUGCUCUGCCAGCUGAGUUGGCACGGAACAUAAAAGUUCAUAAUUUAGAUCUUGGGACCAAUCUGAUUGAGAAUUGGUCAGACUUAAAGGUUGCAUUGCUGCACAAUCUGCUGAAUUGACAAGGAUCAAAUGAUUUUGAUAAUAAGCAAGGAAAGGUGGAAAUAAGUUCCUUAAUUGAAGCUUAGGAGUAAGGAGUUGCCUUUAAUAGAAGACAUAAACUGAGUGAAGCGAGCAGCUGAUUCAAAACUUGGUCUUCCAU